rnacentral:rRNA from 1 species
GAUGAACGCUGGCGGCGUGCCUAAUACAUGCAAGUCGAGCGAACAGAUGAGGAGCUUGCUCCUCUGACGUUAGCGGCGGACGGGUGAGUAACACGUGGAUAACCUACCUAUAAGACUGGGAUAACUUCGGGAAACCGGAGCUAAUACCGGAUAAUAUAUUGAACCACAUGGUUCAAUAGUGAAAGACGGUUUUGCUGUCACUUAUAGAUGGAUCCGCGCCGCAUUAGCUAGUUGGUAAGGUAACGGCUUACCAAGGCAACGAUGCGUAGCCGACCUGAGAGGGUGAUCGGCCACACUGGAACUGAGACACGGUCCAGACUCCUACGGGAGGCAGCAGUAGGGAAUCUUCCGCAAUGGGCGAAAGCCUGACGGAGCAACGUCGCGUGAGUGAUGAAGGUCUUCGGAUCGUAAAACUCUGUUAUUAGGGAAGAACAAAUGUGUAAGUAACUAUGCACGUCUUGACGGUACCUAAUCAGAAAGCCACGGCUAACUACGUG